GAUGAACGCUGGCGGCGUGCCUAAUACAUGCAAGUCGAGCGAACAGGCGAGGAGCUUGCUCCUCUGACGUUAGCGGCGGACGGGUGAGUAACACGUGGAUAACCUACCUAUAAGACUGGGAUAACUUCGGGAAACCGGAGCUAAUACCGGAUAAUAUAUUGAACCGCAUGGUUCAAUAGUGAAAGACGGUUUUGCUGUCACUUAUAGAUGGAUCCGCGCCGCAUUAGCUAGUUGGUAAGGUAACGGCUUACCAAGGCAACGAUGCGUAGCCGACCUGAGAGGGUGAUCGGCCACACUGGAACUGAGACACGGUCCAGACUCCUACGGGAGGCAGCAGUAGGGAAUCUUCCGCAAUGGGCGAAAGCCUGACGGAGCAACGCCGCGUGAGUGAUGAAGGUCUUCGGAUCGUAAAACUCUGUUAUUAGGGAAGAACAAAUGUGUAAGUAACUAUGCAAGUCUUGACGGUACCUAAUCAGAAAGCCACGGCUAACUACGUG
rnacentral:rRNA from 1 species